rnacentral:rRNA from 1 species
UGGGGAAUUUUGGACAAUGGGCGCAAGCCUGAUCCAGCCAUGCCGCGUGCGGGAAGAAGGCCUUCGGGUUGUAAACCGCUUUUGUCAGGGAAGAAAUCUUCUGAGUCAAUACCUCGGGAGGAUGACGGUACCUGAAGAAUAAGCACCGGCUAACUACGUGCCAGCAGCCGCGGUAAUACGUAGGGUGCAAGCGUUAAUCGGAAUUACUGGGCGUAAAGCGUGCGCAGGCGGUUUUGUAAGACAGAGGUGAAAUCCCCGGGCUCAACCUGGGAACUGCCUUUGUGACUGCAAGGCUUGAGUGCGGCAGAGGGGGGAUGGAAUUCCGCGUGUAGCAGUGAAAUGCGUAGAUAUGCGGAGGAACACCGAUGGCGAAGGCAAUCCCCUGGGCCUGCACUGACGCUCAUGCACGAAAGCGUGGGGAGCAAACAGGAUUAGAUACCCUGGUAGUCCACGCCCUAAACGAUGUCAACUGGUUGUUGGGAAGGUUCCUUCUCAGUAACGUAGCUAACGCGUGAAGUUGACCGCCUGGGGAGUACGGCCGCAAGGUUG